GGUUCUGUUGGUUGCUGCAAUCGCGCCCAGUGCAAGGUUGUUGUAGAGGUGGUUGCCCGUUGUCAGCAGCUGGACGUUGGAGACGGCAUAGGAGCCGUACAAUACGUUGCCGUACAGCUCGACACGAACCGUGGGACUCUGGCUCCCCAGCACUGCCACGUUGCCUCCCACGCCCGCCACGAUUGCCGAAUCGUACAUGUACGAUUGGCUGCUGCUGAUGUCAGAUUCACAGCUGGUGCUACUGCCAUCGCUGCUUCCGUCGCUGCAGCGGCUACUGCCGUCGCUGUCGUCGCCAUUUGCCGGCGCAGGCCUGGGUGAGAGGCUUUGGAACAGCACGCAAGGCCGCUGCUCCUGGCCCACAGCCGCCAACUGCCCGCAGCGCUCCACCACCACGUUGGUUAGCUGUGCCGAGCCGGUACCAACCACCAGCAGGCGGGCGCCGUACGGUACGGCAGCGGUUGACGGGCCGUCAUUGGCUCCGGGGCUGCCGUACAGGCGGUUGAGAUCCAGGGACGGUUCCGAUGCCAGAGGCUGCGUACCGUUGGCGGCGGUGAUGGUGGCGUAAGCCUCCGCCGCCGCGAUGCCCACGUUUGAGGACAGCAGCGCCACCUCUGCGCGCAGGUCCACGGACAGCGUGGCAUUGCCACUGCUGCUACUGCCACCACUGCCGCUGCUGCUACUGCCGUUGCCACUGACGGGGUAGCUGCGGCCGCGCGCGGCGUGAGGGUGGCGGAGCGGCGAGUCCAGGACCAGCGCAGUCAGGUUUCCUGCACCCGCCGUGCUGUCCGCGGGCUGCGCCACGACUCCCGUGAUGCGCCGGACUUCCGUCUGGUACUGAUUGUACGACGUGGAUGCGAUCAUGACGCGAUCCCCGACCUGGAUUCCACGUAGCUCGCCGGACGGAGAUCCUGAGAUCCGAACGGACGUGUCGCCGGGCGCUGCCGCCCGGGCCAGCCGCAUCCAGCGGCGGGUGACCGACCGGCCGUGUAGACUCAGCCGGCCGCCGGCCGCCACCAGCAGGACCUGCAAGUGGAGAGGCGAAUAGAUAAAUUUGCACACACGCUUGCCAGAAUGCUCCUUCCCAGAAGAUGUGCAUGUGUGGGAAUGCAUGAGCGCAGGACCGGUGUCGAUUCGCCCCGACGGUCAUCAUAACAGCCCUGAUGGUGGCCGGAUUGCCGACGCCGCCGCACCUUGCUGCCGAUGUUGCUCCCAGCAGGGUAGCCGGGCCCGGCCAUAGCUGCUUCCAAGGGCGGCAAUAUGAAGCCCUGAUCGCUGGGCGAGCCGGUCAGCAGCACGCGCGCCACUGUGGGGUGCGGCGAGGCCGUGCUCCCAGCUGCCAACAGACCCUGGGUUGGAACAUGGGUUGCGUGGUGUGUGUGUCGAGGCGUGUACUUAGUUGGGUACAGACACAGAGGCACUUGCAGCGGUAUGAGGCGUGACAGCAUCUGUGCCAGCAAGGCGCGACACGUGCUACCAAGUGCUGCUGCUGCUAGCUGUUGAGCGGCCAGGAAUACAAAACUCACCCCUGCCAGCACCAUCACUGCGGCGGCGGUGAGGGUGAUGUCCUGCAGGGGGUCAAACCGCAGCGACCCAAGCACCACCAGCGACCCAAGGGCCGGCGGGCUCUCGUCCAGCAGCAGCGCCCAGCCCGCCGGGACCGUCACGUUGGCGCCGGGGCCGGGUUUGCCGCCUGUCACGUUCGCCCAGGUCGUGUCUCGUGACCAGCGAAGGAACGGGUCUGGCGGCGGCGGGCUGGGCGCUGGAGGCGGAGACGGAGGCUGAGGAGGCUCAGGGCUGGGUGGAGCAGGAGACGGUGGCGCCGGGCUUGGCGGAGGGGAGGGCGGGAGUGGGGAAGGGGGAGCGGGGGAAGGAGGGUCAGGCGACGGCGGCACGGGGCUUGGAGGAGCAGGAGAAGGCGGUGCUGGGCUGGGUGGCUCGGGCAAAGGCGGGCCAGGGCUGGGCGGCGCGGGGGAUGGUGGCGCUGGGCUUGGGGGCACAGGGCUCGGUGGGGGAGACGAUGGCGGCUUCGGGUUCGGCGGGACAGGCGAAGGUGGCGCGGGGCUGGGCGGGGCCGGUGACGGUGGCGCCGGGCUGGGAGGGGCUGGCGAAGGCGGGCCAGGCGCGGGGGAUGGGGGCGCCGGGCUCGGAGGCAUAGGGCUCGGUGGGAAAGGCGAUGGCGGCCGCGGGCUGGGUGGGUGCGGGGACGGCGGCCCAGGGCUGGGCGGGGCCGGGGACGGCGGCCCAGGGCUGGGCGGCGCGGGGCUGGGCGGCGCCGGGCUAGGGGGCGCCGGGCUGGGCGGCGGGCUGGGCGGCGGAAGCGGCGGCGCGGGAGGUGGCGGCAUGGGCGGCGGUGACGUGUUCGCCGCCACAAUGGCAGCCCGUAGCGUGGCGUCCAGGGCCCCGCGCGUGCCCGUGUUCGCCAGCCACGCCCCGUCGGCGCCUCCACACACGCCCGCUAGCACGGGACCGCCACUAAUUGCCAGGCCGUUCACGGCCGGCGUCGGCGGCCACGCCAGCAUCACCCAAGCCCGAUACAGAUCUGCCAGGUACGCUGACGUCAGCUGCACAGCCAACGCAGGUGCCGGGGGUGCCGGGGGUGGCGGCGUCCAGGACGCCAGCAGCCCACCUCCCGCGGCUGCCGCCGCCAUCGCCAGCUGCUGUGCCCAGCUGUAGUCAUCAUCAGUGCUGAGCGCUGCCGCCGCAGCGGCGGCGGUUGCGUUUGCCAAGGCUGCGGCCACCGCCGCAGCCUGUUGCUCCUCGUUUGCGUUGACGAGGCCAGACCAAAUGGUCGCUAGAAGUGCUCCUUGCGUCCCUGCGUCCAGGCCGCCUGCGGUGCUGCACCGGGCCGGCUGUGGGAAGGCGUCUGGCCGACUGAUGUUAGAAUCUGCGGCCGGCGGGUAGAUGUGCACAGCCACAGGCAGCGUGGCUUGGCCACCACUGGUGGCUGCGGUGGCUGCGCUUGCGUCUCCAGGGUAGAGCUGCUGGGGCAGGGGCAUGACCUCUAUGCGCAGGGGAUCCAGGCCGGCUGCGGUGGCAAGGGCGGAGGCAAGCGCCCGCCGCGCCGCAAGUGUCAUCGGGACCGAAGUGACGGUGGCGUUCAGGCGCACCUGGUGACAAGGAUAGAGCGUGACGGGGCACAGUUGUGAGGAACGAUUGGAGGAAGGUACAGAAUAUGCGGACAAACAACAUAAAGGGGCAAGCAUCAAGGCCUCAAGCAAAGGCAGUCGGCCGCCGAGGCUCACCGGCACAGCCGCCUCCGUGCGGACCUCCAGUGACCUGCCGCCGCCCACCAUCUUGACGACAAGCCGCCCGCCGUCCACAUCCCACCAGUACGACCCGUGGGGCGUACCGUCGUACGGCGCAGGCGGGCCAUAUGACAAACGCUGCCCCCGCCCGCCAGCACUGCUGCUACCGCUUGCUCCAAACACGGUGUUAGCAACAAGUGGCGGCACCCAUGCAAAGCGCCGCGCCGCCGUACAGUUAGUAGGGAAGUCAAACGCCAUCACAAGCUCGGCGCUGGGGCUCGCGUACGGCAUCCAGAGCUGGAACGAGUCCGGGACCGAGCCUGCAGCCGUGAAUAGUUGGAGGAAUUAUCACUUGGCACAAAGGCGCAGCGCUUGCAUCCCUGCCCGAGCUUGCCAACAGUGCCCUACCUGUGAAGGAGACAUCCACAGAACCUCCUGUGGGAAGCACUGACCAAAACGCCGCAAGUCGCCGCUUGCAGGAUGCGGAUCCCAGGCACCAGCCCUGUGGGGCGAUAUGGCAACGGGGCAGCAGAAACAUGUUUAUGGUGUGACCCUCUGCCAAGUGCGCCUGCGCGUGGACAAAUCCGAUCCCUAUCCCCCUGAACAAGCACACACACGCCCCCACCUGGUCCAUGGCCGGCACCACCACAUCCACAGAGCCCGACACGUUGAACGCCACCGCCUCCGGGCCGCGGACCUGUGGAAACAAGUAGGGGCAGUCAGUGGCAGCCACCGCAUAGUAUUAUCAUAAUAUUAUGCCCAAAGCGCAAUACGGUACGGUAUCGGUAACGUGCUUCAUGACCUUCUCACCCUACUACGGUAUGCUACCCUUGCUUGCUGGCUGGCUUACCUCGGCAUCCGUGUCACGGCUCGCCAACACAAACAGCUGUGGGUCGAAGACACCAGUAGCCCCACUGCCAGCAGGGCCGCCGGCGCACACGUAGGUGCCGAGGUCACCGCGAUAGAUGCAGCCACUGCCCGAAGGCAUCGCCGGCGCCUGUGCCAGCGGCUGAGGUCGCGGGCCAUCUGGUAACGCGCCCAGCACUGUGACCGGGCCGCCCGCAGGCGAAACCCCCAGAGAACCGUCCAGGUCGUUGAACAAGGCCCGUGAAGGUCCCGCGCAGUUGAGGGGCAGGGGCGUUGCGCCGGCAGUGUAGUUGGCAGUGCCGCAGUCGAGCGGGUUCCGCCAAGCCGGGUCGGGUCCCCGCAUGAGGAACAGGCCUUGGGCAGACCUGUGGGAUGGUCAUUUGCAAAGCCAGAAGCAGUCAGUUUCCGUGCGCAUCAGAGUGAACACAAAUGGCGCAUUUGCAAGCAAAAUUAAAACCAGCUUACCCGUCCGUAUUGGUGUUGGCGAGCGUGAUGCGCCGGAAGAAGUGUGGGUGCGAGGCGUCGGGUGCGGUGGGGUUGUUGGCAAAGGCAAAGCUGCCGCCGCCGCACCCACUGGCGCCCUCAAAGUCAGCCACUACCACUCCGUCGAUCAAGGCCAUUCCAUUUACGGUCGGGUAACUGGCUACGGCGUCCCAUGGACUUCGGUCCGGUCCGACUGAGAAGCCCAACGCAAACGCCGCCGCCACAAAUCCAACCGAAGGCGUGUACGGCAGAGCGCGGUUGUACGACUGGGGCGUCAGGCGCUGGUGGCAGCCCGCGUCAGACGGGCUCGCGCACAGCGCGCAAAGCACCGGUGACGUGCGCCCCGCAAGCAGCCCGCCGCGCCAAGACACGCCCGCGCGCUCCGUGAAGCCGCCCUGCCGCAGCAGUGCCGCGCCGGCGUGUCGAUUGUCCAGCAAUGCCACGUCGUACAUCCGCACGUCCGUGUCGAUGCCGCGCAGCGUGAGCAGGCCAUAAUCCCAGUUGGUGUGCGCCGUGAAGUUGGACAGCGCGGUGCAGCGGCCGCCGCCACCACCGGGCGCGGCGGCCCGAGACGCCGCGCUAGAUCGAAGCCACAGCCCCACCAAACAACCGUGGGCGGUGUUGUUGCGGAACGAGCCGAGCGCCCACACGCCAGCCGAUCCGCUACUGCUACUGUCAUUGGCACUGCUGCUGCCUUGGCCUCCACUGGUAAGGCUAGUGCUGCUACUGUUCUCGAAGAUUCCAGCCAGUGCUUCAAUUGCUGUUAGAUCAAUGCAUGGAGUGCCCUGUACGGCAAACCCAAAUGCGUCACUUCCUGCUGCCACGUUGCCUUCCACCCAAUUCCCUGGAUCCCUUAUGUAGAAGUUGCUCAGCACUCGUGCGCGGUACGCAGUGCUUUUGCUGCUGUUGCCAGUGCUUGCAACUAUGUCUCCGCUGUUGCUGGCAUUCAGUGGAUGCGGCACCUGCUGCGGCAGCAAUGUCGCUGCCGCGCCGCCUGCUGUCAAUGCUCCAAAUGCUACACCCCCAUCCCAUACUGCUCCCAAAGCCAAGUUAUUCUUGAUGAGAUUGCUGGAUGACAGUACCAAAACAUUAGAGGCUCCGUAAGUGCCGUACAAUGCGUUGUCUUCUAGCGCUACUGCUGCUACUGCUGCUGCCGAUGAAUUUGCGGGUGAUACCGCAGUAGUGUUGGUGGUGUUUCUGAUGUCUGCGGAUGCUGGCGCUGUUGAUGCUCCGGCAAUGGCAAUGCUGCCACCCACGCCAAAGGCAAUGGCACUUCCUCGUAUAUACAAUUGCGCGCCUGCUGCGCUGCUGAAGGUGCUAUUGGCAGCUCCGUUGCUACUGCUGCUGUUGUUGCUACUGCUGCCGUUGGUAGCUGCUGCUCCUGCUACUGCUGUUUGCAGCAAGUCCUGGAACAAGACGCACGGCCGAAGCAGCGAGCCGUCCAGCUGUCCGCAGUACUCCACAGCCGCGCCCACCAACCGUGCCGUACUGUUGCCCGCCACCAGGAGGCGGGCGCCGUACGUGACCCAGGCCGCCGUUGUACUGCUGUUGCUUGAGUUGGAUCCACUUGCAGCCGAUGGGGGGCUGCCGUACAGAUCGGAUGGCGGCAGGCUGCCCGCCGCCAUGCUGUAAGCCUCCGCCGCCGCGAUGCCCACGUUUGAGGACAGCAGCGCCACCUCUGCGCGCAGGUCCACGGACAGCGUGGCAUUGCCACUGCUGCUACUGCCACCACUGCCGCUGCUGCUACUGCCGUUGCCACUGACGGGGUAGCUGCGGCCGCGCGCGGCGUGAGGGUGGCGGAGCGGCGAGUCCAG
rnacentral:lncRNA from 1 species